rnacentral:rRNA from 1 species
AGCGAACGCUGGCGGCAGGCCUAACACAUGCAAGUCGAACGAAGUCUUCGGACUUAGUGGCGGACGGGUGAGUAACACGUGGGAACGUACCUUUUGGUUCGGAACAACUCAGGGAAACUUGAGCUAAUACCGGAUGUGCCCUUAGGGGGAAAGAUUUAUCGCCAUUAGAGCGGCCCGCGUUGGAUUAGGUAGUUGGUGAGGUAAAGGCUCACCAAGCCUACGAUCCAUAGCUGGUCUGAGAGGAUGAUCAGCCACACUGGGACUGAGACACGGCCCAGACUCCUACGGGAGGCAGCAGUGGGGAAUCUUGCGCAAUGGUCGAAAGACUGACGCAGCCAUGCCGCGUGAAUGAUGAAGGUCUUAGGAUUGUAAAAUUCUUUUACCAGGGACGAUAAUGACGGUACCUGGAGAAAAAGCCCUGGCUAACUUCGUGCCAGCAGCCGCCGUAAUAC